AACGUUUGACCGUUCGUUUUAUUUGAAUUUUUUUUAGAUUAGUAUUUUUAUUGUUAUUAGUAGAUGAUAAAACAUGAAAAAAAAAUAUUUUAUGUGUCACUAUUUUUUUUUUAUUUUUUUAUAAACUUUUCAAAUAAGACGGACGGUCAAAUGUU
rnacentral:pre_miRNA from 1 species